UACAGGGGGGGCAAGCGUUGUUCGGAAUUACUGGGCGUAAAGGGCCAGUAGGCGGCCAACUAAGUCCGACGUGAAAUCCCCAGGCUUAACCUGGGAACUGCGUCGGAUACUGGAUGGCUUGAAUUCGGGAGAGGGAUGCAGAAUUCCAGGUGUAGCGGUGAAAUGCGUAGAUAUCUGGAGGAACACCGGUGGCGAAGGCGGCAUCCUGGACCAAUACUGACACUGAGGAGCGAAAGCGUGGGGAGCGAACAGG
rnacentral:rRNA from 1 species